UUCCGACGAUCAUUCCGUCAGAAUGAUUGGUUCGCGGGUGCAUCAGUGCUUGGUGCAGUGUUUUGAUUUUCGCCGAAAAUUCUGGCCUUGUUGGUUUUUCCGAAAGAAAAGCCUGAUCUGUUGAGACCGUGCUUUGAGCCCUACUGGCAUCGUGUUUGUGACUGCCGGAACCGUCUUGUCUGACACGUAGCUCGACAUUGAUACUGGUGGAUAACGCUUUUGUGUGCAGUAGUCUCCAGUUGGACUGAAUCAACUGCGGAUCAGACUGACGGACGGAACCGAUUCGGAAGAGGCUCCUUAGAAGUAAGCUUAUUUUGUUCUCACACCGUGUUUGCAGCAGAGAUGAUGAGAGGGAAAAUCUGACCAUUUGGAUGUGUGUGAAAACGAGUAGCAGCAGUACGUCGAGUACUAGUGGCAGCCGGGACUGGGAAGUGACCGAGACUACCGAGGAGCUGACAUUAGAACGCGAAUGUUAAGGAGGCUGGUAAAAACGAGGACUCGCUCCUGCAGAUUUUUGGCGUACACGUGAACAUUCAAUUCACGCUGGUCAAGGUUAACCGGUACACUACGAGACAUUACCGAGCGUAUUACAGUGGAUCAAUUUCAAUCACAAGCUUCUCUACUGUUAUAAGACUUGGAGAUGGAUAUCAAGAAGCGGCACCAAGCGUCUUAUGGAAGCGGUGAGUAGCAGAUUCAACUGAGCUGCACCAUGGGCACAUCGAGAGUGCUGAUCUUUUGUCAGCUGAUGACAACAUUGACAUUAAUCACUAUCAAGUAAGUUUGCAGCCUUAUUAAUUAAAUUUAGCAUUUUUAGCAUCAUCAAAAUCUCACUAUUUUGCUUUCUUGAAUGAGCAAG